ensembl:lncRNA
UGGCUCCAGUCAGGCUUCCCAUGAGAGGUCCCAGGGCCCCACGGCAUCCAAGACUCAACCUGACAGACCCCAGUAGGGCUGGCAGCUAGCGGUCAACACCCCAACUGUGGUGGGGACCCCUUAGCCUCCCUGGGCUCCAGCUCCAGGCCUGGAGGGGCUGAACAGGCAGACGUAGUCACAGCUGACAGAACUCUGAGAAGCAGCUUGUAAUGAGCACCAUUGGCUGGCAGUUUUUUUUUUUUUAAUUAAAAGAAAUUGUUUUUGAGACAGAGUCCCACUCUGUCCCCCAGGCUGGAGUGCAGUGGCACGAUCUCGGCUCACUGCAACCUCUGCCUCCUGGGUUCAAGUGAUUCUUCUGCCUCAGCCUCCUGAGUAGCUGGAAUUACAGGCAUGCGCCACUGCCUGGCUAGUUUUUAUAUUUUUAGUAGAGAGGUUUUGCCACACUGGCCAGGCCAGUCUUGAACUCCUGACCUAAGGUGAUCUACCUGCCUCGGCCUCCCAAAAUGCUGAGAUUACAGGCGUGAGCCACCCUGCCUGGCUGGCUGACAGUUUUAUGUUACCAUGAGGGCAGCUCCUUGUCAAGGCAGGUCUAUGGUUGGAUUACAGCUUAUUAAUGAGAUUGCAAAUCACAUGUCUCUCCUGCAUGUGCCCACUCCCCCACAGGCCUGCGUGGUGCUCGAUAAGCAGCAGGCCCAGGGAGAGAGACCUGGAAGGUCACCGUGAAGGUGAGACGAGGAGGACACUAGGAACCAGGGGAGGCAGUGAAGGGCCUCGAAGAGCCUCUCCCCUCUGAGGAGUGCAGGCUGAGCUGGGCCUGGCUUCAGGCCUGGAGCCGGGGCAGCCAAGGCUGUGUCUCUGAGGAGCCUCCAGCAACUCUGAGGCCAGAGCUCUGUGGAGUGAGGGAAAUGCCUGGGCUGUUCUGCCGGUUCUGCAUCCUGGGAGGCCCCCAGGGCCACAGGGAGACCUGAGUUCAAACCCUGCUCAUGCUGGGGGACUGCCCUUCUCUGAGCCUCAGUUUCCUCAUCUGUAAAGUGGGGGUGACCAUAGCUGAUUCUGUGGGACCUGGAGUAAGCCCCUGGGACAGGUGGUGCUGUUUGUGUGAUAUAGCUAACUUAAGUUGGAACCUGUAUACUGCCAUCUUAUAAAAGACAAAAAUGUUUCCAUUCUCCUCAAGGACUGCUAACCUUGGUUUCUGUAAAUUGCUAGAUCAUUUGCAGGAUGCAAAGAGAGGUAAAGCUGCAUACCUUCUCUUAUCUGCCAGAAUUGCUGGCCUUUGUUUCCCAGAGUAAGCACCCCCAGAUCAUUCCAUCCUGGCGCCAAGCAACUGAAAAUCUAUGGAUCCCACCGCUACCCAGACGAUGUGUAAAUGAAUGCUAAUCUUAGCAUCUGUGAACCCUUAAAUAACAAUCAGAAUGUCAAAUAGUCCCCUGGCCCUUGAAAUGUCCGGAACCCCCUCACCCUCCUCUCCACCCAGAAGGUGAUUUGAAUCCACUGGCCCUCGGAAUGUCUGAAGCCCCUCACCCUCGUCUUAGCCUGGGAGGUGAUUGACAGCUUUCAUUCCCAUCUCCACUCCCACUCCCAAGGUGGUUUUGCGGGUAUAAAAAGGUCUUGUUUCUUUUCAUUCGGGGCCACAGGUUGGAGAGACGUGAGUCCUCCAUGGUCGCUGGCAAUAAACCCUGCAAUUUGGCAUACUUUUGUUCUGGUGUUGACUUUCUGUGCUAAGUUCAAUGCAACAUUUGUGCCUGUCUUCUCCAUCUGAGGGGGCUUCCUGGGCACCCUGGAUACCCUGGAUGGGCAUGGAGUGCCUGUGAGCCUCUGUGUGGGAGCCUCCGCCACAAGGCAUUGUGCAGGGAAGCCUCCAGAGCUCACAUCCCUUCUCCUAGAGAGGACUAGGCCUGAACAUGGCCCCCAGAGCUGCUCUUUGGGGACCAGCGGUGACAGCCUCAGCUGGGAGGGCCCGGGGAAUGCUGGACCAUGUGCCCACCGUACAGAGGGCCCAGCUCACUGCCAAGGUAAGCACCACCGAGGGGUACAGCACUGCUGCAUGG